rnacentral:rRNA from 1 species
AUUGAACGCUGGCGGCAGGCCUAACACAUGCAAGUCGAACGGUAACAGGAAGAAGCUUGCUUCUUUGCUGACGAGUGGCGGACGGGUGAGUAAUGUCUGGGAAACUGCCUGAUGGAGGGGGAUAACUACUGGAAACGGUAGCUAAUACCGCAUAACGUCGCAAGACCAAAAAGGGGGACCUUCGGGCCUCUUGGCAUCGGAUGUGCCCAGAUGGGAUUAGCUAGUAGGUGGGGUAACGGCUCACCUAGGCGACGAUCCCUAGCUGGUCUGAGAGGAUGACCAGCCACACUGGAACUGAGACACGGUCCAGACUCCUACGGGAGGCAGCAGUGGGGAAUAUUGCACAAUGGGCGCAAGCCUGAUGCAGCCAUGCCGCGUGUAUGAAGAAGGCCUUCGGGUUGUAAAGUACUUUCAGCGGGGAGGAAGGGAGUAAAGUUAAUACCUUUGCUCAUUGACGUUACCCGCAGAAGAAGCACCGGCUAACUCCGUG